rnacentral:misc_RNA from 1 species
UUCCCUCAAUCCUAAUCUGAUUAGUUCUAUUCCAUAUAUGAAAGCAAUAUUUUUCUCACUCAAAUUAGAAAAAAAAUCUCCCCAAAUCCUACUAGGAUUUUAAGUCAUAAUUCUAACAGGAAGAUACAAAAGUCCGGAAGAAUACACUUGUUUUAUUUACAUUGAUGGUGGUCUCAGCCCAAGAUAUCCCUGUGUUUAAUGCUGUUUUGAAGACAGUAGUGAUAGGCAUUCCACGCUUCAGCAAACCACCAAUCUGAAAAUAAGAGCCUCUGUCUGAAAAAACAUGUUAGGAGCACUUUAUAAUUGCCAAAUAUUUGGAAACAUUAAGCUAAAAUUCUGUAGAUUUCAAUAUGUAGCAAGCUUAAUGGACAAUAUAAUAUGUUGACAACGCAUACCAUUCCAAAGAACCCCAGAUGUAUAUAAUAUCAAUUCCAUAUGCAUUGGUUGACGUUGGAAAACAAGAGUAUAAUAUCAGAUAUUUGUAUCAAAUGAGAAUGUAAUCAAACUACAAAAGCUACAUAGUUAGCCACAAAUUAAGUACAAUGUUAUUUUUCAUGUUCUUUGAUGAUGAUGUUAUUGGUGCAUAAUUUGAAGAUCCCAUCUUGACCUCCACAAGGAUAAGAAGGAUAAUGUUACUAGUUCCAAUACACUCCCUUCUACUAUUUUCUUAUCUUAAAGCUACUUAUAUUCUCAUAGCUUUUCCUUACCACAAUCACUAUCACAACUAGCAUGGGAACCAAGUGUACUUCAAUACAGCAAACAGAUAACAGCAUAAAAUUACGAACUUGUACAACUAUAUAUGUCAUUAUGGACAGUAUUCAUUAAAAUUUGAGCAGUAACAUGAGUACUUCCAGACAGAAAGGUAGCACAACAGAGGCACAUACAUAAAACCUUUAUCACACAUGGUUAUCACCAAAAAUGAAGAAUGGGAGGGUGAAAAAUAUGUUCCUUAAUGGAUAUUCAUGCACUUAAUUUC